UCUAAACAAUCUAAACAACAAAACGUAAAAGGCACUGACUGGAUAGAAUACAACAUGCCCCUCUUGAAUUCCUGAACUAAAGGCAAAGGCUCAACAGAUCUGCCAGAUUUGGUUUGGUUUGUAAAAGCGGCAACCUUACCGAGUCCCACUCCCCUCUUGCUGUUAUUACUACUUUGUACAGCCGGAGAAAAGCUCAGCAGCGAGACCUCGUCGACCAGUGCAUCCUCCAAUGUCUCUCCCGUAUUCUCGGCGAAUGUCCAGCUGCAGCCAAGAGGCGGCACAGAGCAACUAACAGCAGGGUAGCCCUCAAGGCAAAAGCACCUGGCUCCUCCUCCCCAGGGCGGGCGCGGCUCUAAUAGCACCGUAGCCAACCUUCGCUUUCACAGCUCCCUGGGGAAAUUUGUCCCUCUUCGCACGAGGUGCUCCAAACGCAAACUUCCCUGCUGAAGGAGGAGUGCUGCGUCCGCGCGCCUGUUGCUUCAGAGAGGUAUUGCUGCUGCAGCUGCCACAAGCCUCCUGUUUCCUUCUCACCUGUUUCCUUUCCCGCUCACAAUAUAUAGGGGGCUUUUCCCGCCAGCGGCGCGGGCAGAAGCGGUUUCUCUUCCUGACAUGCACCAACCACUUUCUUACACGAGACAUUUCCCAUACAACCAGUUUUCUAGCCGUGGCUAGUCCUUGCACACUUAAGGGUCGGUUGCAGUUACCGAAGCUCUCAAUGCCAAGAGCACCAAACAACAACCCUAUACGCGCUUUGGCAAAGGCAGGUUUGCUCGGAAUAGCCUGUUGGUUCUCAUUGCCCGCUUUCUAGUCCUCUAUUCUUAUUACAGUUUCUUCAAUAUCCUGUCUGACUACAGCUUCUUCAUAAAGUCUUCUUGUCUUUCAUCUGGUCCUCUUCUCUCCAGCCUGCACCAGCUACCUCCAGAGCUUUUUCUCUCACCCCUUACUUGCAACUAAAGGCCCACUGCUCCCAGGCUCAGUUACGUGGCAAUGGACAGUCUUGACAAAUGCAAAGAAAAGCCCAAAAUACGGAAGGAAGGUGACAAAAAUAGUACUGACAAACAAGGAAGAAGUAUGCUGCCAAAGACAAAAUUACAUAGCCCAUGAUGUUCUCACAUGAUCCUGAAUGGCUCACAUCUAUUCCCCUAAACACUCAAAGAAGAAAAGACGUAAACUUUCCUACUUGUUUCUCAGCUUAUGCAGUUUGUUCCUUCACCAAUGCUUUCACCUCAUCUGGCAGCACUCAUAACUGUGUGCAUAGAUGUCUAUGGAUCAUUAGCAGUAGCAUAUUCAGUAGCAAUGUGCAAAGCGUGUUCCAAAAUCUUUUCAUUUGAACUGAGAAGGAACUUAACAGUCACCUAUAAGAGAGGGAAUACAACUGAUAGAAACUGACCCAGAGGGAGGGGAAUGCUGAGCCGUUCCAUCAUCUGUAUUGCCAUAUCAACGCUGAAUUUCUUCAGGCCAGUUCAAAGCAACAAUUUUCUUUCAUGGGAGUGUAUCUGCAACCCUAGCCUUGAGAAUUUAGCAACUACAGAGCAGACUGAGCAGACACACAGGUCACCUGGUCAUAGACUUCCCCAUUGUGGAAACACCUGUAUCAGUCAGCAGCGAUAUAGGAAGAUGCUGAAAGGCAAACCUCUCCUGUAUUCUUCCAAAGACAACCACAGGGCUCAGUGGUCGGUCGCCAGGAGUCACCACCGACUCGACAGCACUUUACCUUUACCUCUUUUGUAUCAUAUACAGUGUUACAUUAUUAUUCACAAUAUAAUUCGCUUCACAAAUAUUAUUGUGCAAUAAACACAAUAAAUAAUUAGAAAUAGCUAUUUUUAAUGCCCCUUGGUAUAUGUUUGACUCCUGUCAGCCCAGGGGAGUAUUUAUAAUUGGGUAAGGGGAGACAGGUGUGUCGAGGCCUGCUGCCUCCAGCCCCCCACCGGGACAUGUCACAUGAUUCCCCAUUGCCUGUCUGCCCACCCAGCCCCAAGGAGUGUCAGCCAGUCCCCCUUGCCCUGUUUGUCCCCUCUCCUGCUUUUCUUGGCUGGCAAUCUAAGCAGCCUGCAAGCUGCUAGAGCUCCUUCUCUCUCUGCCUCUCAGCUGAUCAGUGGGUGGGCGGGGCUUCCAGAAAGGCCUAUGCAUAGGCCUCGCUGAAGCCUGAAGCUCUCCAGGCAGCAAGCAAGGAAGGAAGGAGGCAGGCAGAGUGGCCAGCACUGGCUGCCCUUACCCACCACAGUUCUCUGCAGACCCUCUGCCCAGCCCAGCCUUUGCCAGUA